GAUGAACGCUCGCUACAGGCUUAACACAUGCAAGUCGAGGGGAAACGGCAUUAAGUGCUUGCACUUUUUGGACGUCGACCGGCGCACGGGUGAGUAACGCGUAUCCAACCUGCCCCUUACCAGGGAAUAACCCGUUGAAAGACGGACUAAUGCCCUAUGCAGUCCUUUGACGGCAUCAGAUUAGGACUAAAGAUUCAUCGGUAUGGGAUGGGGAUGCGUCUGAUUAGCUUGUUGGCGGGGUAACGGCCCACCAAGGCAUCGAUCAGUAGGGGUUCUGAGAGGAAGGUCCCCCACAUAGGAACUGAGACACGGUCCUAACUCCUACGGGAGGCAGCAGUGAGGAAUAUUGGUCAAUGGGCGCUAGCCUGAACCAGCCAAGUAGCGUGCAGGACGACGGCCCUAUGGGUUGUAAACUGCUUUUAUGCGGGGAUAAAGUCACCCACGUGUGGGUGUUUGCAGGUACCGCAUGAAUAAGGACCGGCUAAUUCCGUG
rnacentral:rRNA from 1 species